rnacentral:misc_RNA from 1 species
AUAGAUGGCAACCCCCAGCAGUGUGAACCCUGAUGGCGAGCUCUGACUGAUUCCACAGAUGCUUCCUCCCACCGACACAGAUGACUGCUGAGGUGAAAACCAUGGAGAAGGAAGAUAUUCCGCAGAAGACUGAGCCGCCCCAUGAGAGGAGACGGCGCUACGCCUUGCAGAUCUUUAUAGUGUUCUCGGCUUCCAUCUCUUACUUUGUGAUGGGCAUGUCGCUGUCGUGGCCCAAUGUGGUGGAGUCGCACCACUUCGAAGACAACUCUACGCUGUUCGGCAACACGCUUUACCUCCACCCGUGGCAGAUGGACAUGCUCAACAGUUUGAUCAGCAUCGGGAGCGUGUUGGGUCUUCUGUUCGCCGGCUGGAUCGUUCGCAGACUGGGGCGCAAAAAGUCCCUCAUCGUGGCGGUGCUGCCGGGCCUGGUGGGCUGGGCUUUACUUGGCUUGGCUUACAACGCUUACCUGAUGCUGAUCGGCAGGUUUUUGGAUGGGAUAACGAGUGGUAUGGUGACCCUGACCGCAAUGACCUACGCCACGGAGAUUCCAGAUGCCGCCUUCCGUGGCACUAUCAGCACGAUAUGCUGCUUCAUGUUCCUCAUGGGAGCGUGUUUCUGCACGGCCAUUGGCAUUGCCCUCACGUGGUACUACGUUGCGCUGGGCAACAUGUGUGUGUUGCUGGUGUAUAUCUGCAUCGUCCCUUUCUUGCCAGAGAGUCCCACAUUCCUCGUCGUCACAGGACAGGAUGACAGAGCUAUUAAGGUCCUUGAGCGUCUCCGAGGAACAUACGCAGACAUUACAAAUGAAAUAAAGCUCCUGAAGAAGAUGAAUGAUGAAAUCACUUCGGACACGAGUUGGGGUUUUCUCCUACAGAAGAAAGUACAGAAACGCAUCUUAGUACUAUCCAUCCUGUUCCUAGUGCAAGCCUACAGCGGCACGGCGGUCCUGCGAGCCAACGCCGUCAGAAUCCUGCAGGACUCUGGAGUGACUACGAACAAAAGUAUGGUCGCAACCCUCCUGCUGCUGCUGCCCAUCGCAGGAGCCUUCGUGCUGUGUCAUCUGGUGGACCGCGCGGGGCGCAAGGUGUGCUUGGCGAUAUCGCUCACGCUCAUGUCCAUAUCCUACAUUUUUCUUGGCACGAGAGUCUACCUACAGAAGUCCACAGUUGUGUCACUGAUUCCCCUCGAGCCGAAUAACACUGCAGCGCUACCGCCUUACUUCACGACGGAAAGUGACAGUGGAGAGGACACUUGGUGGUUAACUGUGGUCGGCCUCAUCGUGUGCAUCUUCUCCAUGAACAUCGGCAUCGAGUCCCUCCCAUGGCAGCUCUCCUCCGAGUACUUCCCCACCGUCAUCCGCUCACAGGUAACGUACUACUCUUCCCGAGAACGGCUUUCACGUGGCGGUGUUGCGAACUUGCGGUGUGUAGGUGGAUGAUGUGGCCCCAGUGGUGGAUGCAGCGGGAUGAUGGUGUGUGUGUGUGUGUGUGUGUGUGUGUGUGUGUGUGUGUGUGUGUGUGUGUGUGUGUGUGUGUGUGUGUGUGUGUGUGUGUGUGUGUGUGUGUGUGUGUGUGUGUGUGUGUGUGUGUGUGUG